AUGUUCGUGGUCUUGGCAGGAACAAAAAAAUGCACCGAUGUCAAAUCAGCCCUUGCGGCCAUUGCCCCUUCCUUUAUCUUCUUACAAGAGACUAAGCUUGAGGAUAUCUCCUCCUUCAGAGCUAGCUCCUUUCUUCCUCCCAAUCUCAGAUCCUUUCACUUUCUUCCUUCACAUGGCGCGGCAGGCGGUAUCCUCACUGCCUGGGACGAUCAAGAUUUUGUUUGCUCCUCGGUCACUAACCUCUCCUUCUCCUUAACCCUAAGCUUUUCAGCUAGGGCUAAUGAUGACUGUUUCUCGGUAUCCAACAUUUAUGGCCCAUGCGGUAGCAAUGAGAAACAGGCUUUUUUGGAGCUCCUUCAUCUCGGUGGCUUAAUCUCUGGACCUUGGGCCCUCAUUGGUGAUUUCAACUUCACCCUCAAGCCUUUUGAGCGAUCUAAUGAUAAUUUCAACGCCUCUAAAGCAUCCCUCUUCUCUUCCACCCUUAACCAGUUAAAUCUUCAGGAACUACCUCUUCUAGAUAGGCUUUUCACUUGGUCAAACCAGCAAGACUCUCCCAUUCUUGUCCGCUUAGACAUGGCCUUUAUUAACAUCGAAUGGAGUUCCUUACUCCCAGACUCCACUCUCACCUCCUCUUGUCGCUCGACCUCCGACCACGUGCCUCUCAUCAUAACCGCUUCGUCCAAGAUUCCUAAGCCCUCGAUAUUUCGCUUUUAA
rnacentral:rRNA from 1 species